UCUAUUUUAUUGAAAGAAUUUU
rnacentral:snRNA from 1 species